UCGAUGAAUGCGGGAGAGAGUUCGUAAUGAACCGCCGAAGGAAAAAGUGGUGCUGGCCUGCCUGUCACACCGCGAAAUUCUCAGGCAAAGGGACCGUAUUUUGACA
rnacentral:ncRNA from 1 species